rnacentral:rRNA from 1 species
AGUGAACGCUGGCGGUAUGCCUAACACAUGCAAGUCGAACGGCAGCACAGUAAGAUCUUUCUCUUACGGGUGGCGAGUGACGGACGGGUGAGGAGUACAUCGCAAUCUACUUUUUCGUGGGGGAUAACGGAGGGAAACUGACGCUAAUACCGCAUACAACCUACGGGUGAAAUCAGUAGAGCUUCGGACCUUUCCCGAUUGAAUUAGAUGGUGUCGGAUUAGCUAGUUGGCGAGGUAAAGGCACACCAAGGCAACGAUCCGUAGCCGGCCUGAGAGGAUGAUCAGCCACACUGGAACUGAGACACGGUCCAGACUCCUACGGGAGGCAGCAGUGGGGAAUCUUCCGCAAUGGGCGAAAGCCUGACCCAGCCACACCGCGUGAGUGAAGAAGGUCUUCGGGUUGUAAAGCCCUUUUAUUAGGAAAGAACAACAGUGUAAGUAUCUACCCACGUUCUGACGGUACCCAAACAGUAAGCCCCGGCUAACUUCGUG